rnacentral:rRNA from 1 species
UNCGNCCUNGAUGGUGAAUUAAUAACCUAAAUAAGGCAAGACNUAAUAAAGGAGGUNUGUUCGACCUUUAAAAAAUUACAUGAUUUGAGUUCAGACCGGUAUAAGCCAGGUCGGCUUCCAUCUUCUAAAUAGUUUUCUGUAGUACGAAAGGGCCCAAAAAUAUAAUUUAAUUAACUAAUUGGCAGAUCAAUGCAUUAGAAUUAGAAUCUAAUUAAUCUAUCAUCAUCUUUACCCUUAAUUAUCUAAUU